rnacentral:rRNA from 1 species
AUUGAACGCUGGCGGCAGGCCUAACACAUGCAAGUCGAACGGUAACAGGAAGAAGCUUGCUUCUUUGCUGACGAGUGGCGGACGGGUGAGUAAUGUCUGGGAAACUGCCUGAUGGAGGGGGAUAACUACUGGAAACGGUAGCUAAUACCGCAUAACGUCGCAAGACCAAAGAGGGGGACCUUCGGGCCUCUUGCCAUCGGAUGUGCCCAGAUGGGAUUAGCUAGUAGGUGGGGUAACGGCUCACCUAGGCGACGAUCCCUAGCUGGUCUGAGAGGAUGACCAGCCACACUGGAACUGAGACACGGUCCAGACUCCUACGGGAGGCAGCAGUGGGGAAUAUUGAACAAAGGGCGCAAGCCUGAUGCAGCCAUGCCGCGUGUAUGAAGAAGGCCUUCGGGUUGUAAAGUACUUUCAGCGGGGAGGAAGGGAGUAAAGUUAAUACCUUUGCUCAUUGACGUUACCCGCAGAAGAAGCACCGGCUAACUCCGUG